GUCUAAACUUGCCUUGUCUAUGGUGUUGUUCGAUCAAUUGCAGGUACAAACUAUAAUGUUCAAUUGCUCAUUAGAUAUAAUGAUAUAGAAGAUAAUGUUUGUGUUUUCAUUGUUGCUCACCAAUUGUUGGGUGAUAAAUCAAUCUCUAAUUUUCCUUUAAAUUUUUUCGCAGCUACUUGGUGACAGUCAUGGGUUUAGUGACUCCAUAGAGUGUGUCAUUAGCAUUGGUUGAUACAUAUUCCGUGUUCGUUAAAGGCUUACCACGACAACCAAGGGUACUGCUGGUUGUCAUUGUUGGAGACUAGGUAUGUUACAUGGCUUAUUAUGCAUAUCAUCACCAUGGUGUUAUCCCUUAUCAUAAUUUGAUGUAAAAAUAUUUGUUUUAUCUGAUUGCAUGCCUUGUCAUUUCUCUCACUAGCCGCGGCUUGCUCAACUGCUAGUGUGACAAGUCUUUUGGUCAAUGUCAGCUCGACAUAUUGCCCGUCAAAGAUAUGCAGUAGAUAUCAAUCGUCUGCAGCUAUGGCUUUCAUGUUGUGGUUUCUAUCAUUUGCUUUAACUCUCUUCAAUCUUUGGCUCCUUCUGUCUUUGUAGCGACUCGCAACUUCCAAGUUCCAACCCUUUCUUCAUACACAAAAAGUUCAGCAGGCAGAUCCUGACAGUUCCAUAGAUGUUCAAAUUAAGAAGUGUACAUUGACAGUAUUAUAUACAAACAUCAAAAUCUUGAACGAUAAAAUUGAAUUUCAAUGUUUUUUGAAUAAAGUUUGCUGCCACUUUACGAUUCAUUGAUUCAUUUAUCUAGUUCAUACGAUUAAUACUCUAACUUAAUAAUUGAGUAUUAUUAUAUAUUUAAUUUGAUUUAUUUAAUUAUAAAUAAAUCAUUGCAAUAUAUGUAAAAACAAUUUAAAAUAUAAAAAUUUAUUAAUAUAUAUUAAUAUAUGUAAAAACAACUUUUCCGGAAAAUAUUUUCAGGAAAUCUGCCAAACAGCAGAAAAUAUUUUACACAGAUUCAAUCAAACACCAGAAAAUAUUUUCCAGUAAAUCAUUUUACAGAAAAGUAAAACAUUUUCCAUAAAUCAUUUUAUGGAAAAUAUUUUACUGGCAAUCAAACAGACCCUAAUAUUUCUUUGGACUCGUGGUUUAAGUCUAAAUUUUUAAUAUCUCCUAAACUAUUUACUUUUUCUUCAACCUUACUUACCUUAUUAUAUAACCUAGAAAAAUAAAAGAAGUUAUAUCUGCUAGACUAUUUAUACCCUUACUCAGAGAUGAAAUAUUAUUUUCAUUUCUAGAGUCUAUAUGCGUAAUAUGAUUACAAGUUUUAUCUUGAAAUUGACACUCAAUUUGUUCCAUAAUAUUUGUUUCUGGUACCUAAGACCGUCUAUUAUCUUUAUCGUCUUCACACAACGCCUAACGUCCUCCUUGGACUCAACGGCAACAAGAAGACAGAAUAACAGAUAUAUGGGUUUUGAAACAAAUAACUGUGAAACAAACAGAAAUGUAAAUCAAAGACAAAAACUUACAAUGAAUAUUACGAUAUUAUUUCUCCAGAAAUUCGUUACACCGGCACCUCUAAUACCAAACUGGGGGAAGGGAGGGUAUAAGGGAUGAUUGAGUAGGAGCGGAAGGAUUUUACAAGACUCUAGUAAAGGAAAACUAAAAAGGAAAAUAUUUG
rnacentral:lncRNA from 1 species